rnacentral:rRNA from 1 species
GCGGCGUGCUUAACACAUGCAAGUCGAGCGGUAAGGCCUUUCGGGGUACACGAGCGGCGAACGGGUGAGUAACACGUGGGUGAUCUGGCCCUGCACUCUGGGAUAAGCUUGGGAAACUGGGUCUAAUACCGGAUAUGACCACAGCAUGCAUGUGUUGUGGUGGAAAGAUUUAUCGGUGCAGGAUGGGCCCGCGGCCUAUCAGCUUGUUGGUGGGGUAAUGGCCUACCAAGGCGACGACGGGUAGCCGACCUGAGAGGGUGACCGGCCACACUGGGACUGAGACACGGCCCAGACUCCUACGGGAGGCAGCAGUGGGGAAUAUUGCACAAUGGGCGGAAGCCUGAUGCAGCGACGCCGCGUGAGGGAUGAAGGCCUUCGGGUUGUAAACCUCUUUCAGCAGGGACGAAGCGUGAGUGACGGUACCUGCAGAAGAAGCACCGGCUAACUACGUGCCAGCAGCCGCGGUAAUACGUAGGGUGCGAGCGUUGUCCGGAAUUACUGGGCGUAAAGAGUUCGUAGGCGGUUUGUCGCGUCGUUUGUGAAAACCCGGGGCUCAACUUCGGGCUUGCAGGCGAUACGGGCAGACUUGAGUGUUUCAGGGGAGACUGGAAUUCCUGGUGUAGCGGUGAAAUGCGCAGAUAUCAGGAGGAACACCGGUGGCGAAGGCGGGUCUCUGGGAAACAACUGACGCUGAGGAACGAAAGCGUGGGUAGCAAACAGGAUUAGAUACCCUGGUAGUCCACGCCGUAAACGGUGGGCGCUAGGUGUGGGUUCCUUCCACGGGAUCUGUGCCGUAGCUAACGCAUUAAGCGCCCCGCCUGG